GACGAACCGUGCGAACGUUAUUCGGAAUCAUUGGGCUUAAAGGGCGCGUAGGCGGCGGUGUAAGUUGGAAGUGAAAUCCCAUCGGCUCAACCGUGGAAUUGCUCCCAGUACUGCAUCGCUCGAGGGGGAUAAGGGUUUGCGGAACGUACCGGUGGAGCGGUGAAAUGUGUUGAUAUCUAACAGGAACUCCGGUGGCGAAAGCGGCGUGCUGGAUCUCUUCUGACGCUGAGGCUCGAAAGCUAGGGGAGCAAACGGG
rnacentral:rRNA from 1 species